GCUCCAAUAGCGUAUACUAAAGUUGUUGCAGUUAAAAAGCUCGUAGUUGAAUUUCUGGUCGUGGAGAUCGGUCCGCCCCUCACGGGGUGUGCACUAGGUUUCUGCGUCCAUCCUCGGGGAGAGCACGUCUGGCAUUCAGUUGUCGGGCGUGGGAUCCUCGUCAUUUACUGUGAGCAAAAUAGAGUGUUCAAAGCAGGCUU
rnacentral:rRNA from 1 species